AAGAGCAAUUUUAUUAUAUGCAGAUUAUAUAUUGUACACUUCAAGUACAUAUAUAUAUACAUAUAUAUAUAUAAAAAAAAAUAAUAAAUAAUAAAAUUGCUUAAAAAAAAAACUUGAAGUUAGCACAAUUAUCAGGGCAUAAGAUGUUAUAAAUUGUGAGCAUCCUAUGCAGUACAAUUUUGUGAACAACUA